rnacentral:rRNA from 1 species
ACCUACGGGGGGCAGCAGUGAGGAAUAUUGGUCAAUGGUCGGGAGACUGAACCAGCCAAGCCGCGUGAGGGAUGAAGGUACAGAGUAUCGUAAACCUCUUUUGUCAGGGAACAAAGGCGGGGACGUGUCCCCGGAUGAGUGUACCUGAAGAAAAAGCAUCGGCUAACUCCGUGCCAGCAGCCGCGGUAAUACGGAGGAUGCGGGCGUUAUCCGGAUUUAUUGGGUUUAAAGGGUGCGCAGGCGGUCUGUUAAGUCAGCGGUCAAAGCCCGGGGCUCAACCCCGGCCCGCCGUUGAAACUGGCAGU